rnacentral:rRNA from 1 species
AUUGAACGCUGGCGGAAUGCUUUACACAUGCAAGUCGAACGGCAGCAUAGGUGCUUGCACCUGAUGGCGAGUGGCGAACGGGUGAGUAAUACAUCGGAACGUGCCCAGUCGUGGGGGAUAACGUAGCGAAAGUUACGCUAAUACCGCAUACGAUCUAAGGAUGAAAGCGGGGGACCGUAAGGCCUCGCGCGAUUGGAGCGGCCGAUGUCAGAUUAGGUAGUUGGUGAGGUAAAGGCUCACCAAGCCGACGAUCUGUAGCUGGUCUGAGAGGACGACCAGGCACACUGGGACUGAGACACGGCACAGACUCCUACGGGAGUCAGCAGUGGGGAAUUUUGGACAAUGGACGCAAGUCUGAUCCAGCCAUUCCGCGUGCAGGACGAAGGCCUUCGGGUUGUAAACUGCUUUUGUACGGAACGAAAAAGCUCUUACUAAUACUAGGAGUCCAUGACGGUACCGUAAGAAUAAGCACCGGCUAACUACGUGCCAGCAGCCGCAGUAA